GGAACUAUACUAAUGGAACACCAGCUUCGAGAUUUUAUGAUCAGAGUGCCGUCGCGCAUCUUUUUUCGCGCACCAUACCAAUUUGAAAAAUCGAUGAGGAUGCCAAAGAAGAAAUUUACUCCGAGAGCCACUUGGAUUGACCUUCAUUGAGAGUAAAACUUCCCCACACUAUAUUUUAUUAGAUUUGUACAAACUUUAUCCAUUUUCUGACUAUCUGAUAAAAUAGAUACAAUUUCCCUGAAUAAUGGAUCGUCACAAAAGAUUUUUUUUUAAGGCCACUUCGUUAAAAUAGGUGUUUCCAGUACUUCCUCAUUUGGGUAUUUUACACAAAAUCUGGAAUUAUUUUUUAUGUACAUGUCAUUAUUAUCAUCUGUCCCGCGCAACCAAACCAUCCACUUUUCCCGGUCACCAAUGUUCUUAACAAGAUAUCAAGAGAGAGACGCUGGUCCAUUAUUUGCGUAGUCCAGCCAGCUUUUUUUUUUGACAACCUUUUGUCGUUCUCUCUCAUGAAGGAUAUGUUUUGAAAAUUAGUCUUACAAAAUACAAUUCCAAACCAACUCAUGCAGUUAUCGUCUUUUCACAGUAUUGAGGAGUCAUCCUUUUUGCUAGCCAGAGUGUUAAUUGGCAAAAGUGAAAAAUUCAUUUGUUUAAUUUUUUAAAUUAUUAACAAGUAGAACCAUGGCAACCAGUUCUGAGGAUGUACCAGAAUGGCUCAAGGAUCAUACUUAUACUAUUUCUACUCUCUGGGCAGACAUUAAUAAUAUUGGCAUCCAUUCAAUAUUUAAUUUAUGUUUGGAAAUGCAAGAAAAAGGCAUGCAUUCCUGAAAAGUCACUGAUUGGUUGCACCUCUUAAAGAUAACUUUCUGUUAUGAGAAAAGAUGAGAUUCUUGGACUCCUGCAUAGCACCACCAGAAAGGAAAAUCCCAUCAUGUUGCAAAAUAAAAGUCUUGGACCAAUUUUAAUUUAAGAUAUAUAUAUAUUAUACUGUAAGCUGUAUACAUAUUUAUGUAUAUCCUGUCAUUCAGCCAACAGGUUUGGAUUUAGUAUUUCUUUAAAUCUGUUUGAUAUUGUACUUGAAAACUAUUAAUCUGAGCCCCAUUAAAACAAGAGGGAGUGCAGUGGAUGAGUGGUAAGGGAAAUUUUACUUUUUUAAAAUUAAAAAUAAGAAUCUAACAAAAGUAAACAUAUAAAAUAUGGUGCAUUCUCCUUAAAACUAAAACCUGGUGCAAAGGUUUAAAAUGUUGGCAAAAAAAAAGCAACAUCAAUUAAAUAUUCUUAAUUCCCUUACUGAGAAGAACAUGCAUGUUGUUCCCUCAUAAGUUUCUUGACAGAGGAAAUCUUGUUUAUAUUAGAUUUGAAUUAAGCAAAUUAAGAAAAAAAUUAUAAUCAUUAUUUCAAAUGGUUGUAUCUAAACCUUAUGAAUUAUUUUUCAGUUAUAAGUAUAUUGAAAUGAAUGGAUAAUCAUGAAAUUGUUAAAUAAUUGCCAUUGACUAAAGAACCAUAAUUUUUUUUUUUUAAUUAAUUUCAAAAUGAUUUUUUUCAAGCAGAGUUCACAUAGAUCUUGAGUGAAAUUUUUCUUUUUUUGACUAAUGCUUCAAUUUUAUUGUAUCAUUAGUU